UACGAAGGGUGCAAGCGUUACUCGGAAUUACUGGGCGUAAAGCGUGCGUAGGUGGUUCGUUAAGUCUGAUGUGAAAGCCCUGGGCUCAACCUGGGAAUGGCAUUGGAAACUGGCGACCUAGAGUGCGGUAGAGGGUAGUGGAAUUCCCGGUGUAGCAGUGAAAUGCGUAGAGAUCGGGAGGAACAUCUGUGGCGAAGGCGACUGCCUGGACCAGCACUGACACUGAGGCACGGAAAGCGUGGGGAGCAAACAGG
rnacentral:rRNA from 1 species